UGGGGAAUAUUGGACAAUGGGCGCAAGCCUGAUCCAGCAAUGCCGCGUGAGUGAUGAAGGCCUUCGGGUUGUAAAGCUCUUUCGCACGCGACGAUGAUGACGGUAGCGUGAGAAGAAGCCCCGGCUAACUUCGUGCCAGCAGCCGCGGUAAUACGAAGGGGGCUAGCGUUGUUCGGAAUUACUGGGCGUAAAGGGCGCGUAGGCGGUGUGUCAAGUCAGGCGUGAAAGCCCCGGGCUCAACCUGGGAACCGCGCUUGAGACUGGCACGCUCGAGUUCGGGAGAGGAUGGUGGAAUUCCCAGUGUAGAGGUGAAAUUCGUAGAUAUUGGGAAGAACACCGAUGGCGAAGGCAGCCAUCUGGACCGACACUGACGCUGAGGCGCGAAAGCGUGGGGAGCAAAACAGGAUUAGAUACCCUGGUAGUCCACGCCGUAAACGAUGAGUGCUAGACGUCGGGGCCCUCAGGCUUCGGUGUCGCAGCUAACG
rnacentral:rRNA from 1 species